AUUGAACGCUGGCGGAAGGCCUAACACAUGCAAGUCGAACGCGUGGCGGACGGGUGAGUAAUGUCUGGGAAACUGCCCGAUGGAGGGGGAUAACUACUGGAAACGGUAGCUAAUACCGCGUACCAUCGGAUGUGACCAGAUGGGAUUAGCUUGUAGGGGAGGGAACGGCUACCCUAGGCGACGAUCCCUAGCUGGGCUGAGAGGAUGACCAGCCACACUGGACGUGCUACACGGUCCAGACUACUAUGUGCGGCUGCAGUGGGGAAUAUGGCACACUGCGCGAAAGCCUUAGUCAGCCGGGCCGGGUGUAUGGAGAAUGCCUUCAGGGUGUGAAGUACUUUCAGCGGGGAGGCGUUACCCGCCCAAGAAGCACCGGCUAACUCCGUGCCAUCAGCCGCGGUAAUUC
rnacentral:rRNA from 1 species